UGAGGAGCCACCUUGACCACUGUAAAGAAUCCCAGGCAGCAGGCAGGUGGCGUGUGGAAUUAUCUUAAGGCGUCACUAGGAAAGGAUUUCCGGACAGUCAUUUUGAGAAGCUGAGAGAAAAGAAGGCAGAAGCAGAAGGAUGGCAGAAGGAGGGAGUUGACAAAAGGAUCAGAGGUAUUCCUGAGCAUAUCCUUGAUUCCUGGGCCCCUCUGGACUAAGCAGCUUGAGCAGAGGAGGGGAUGGAGGGCAGGGAAUUCUGUUAUUUGCAACAUGGAGAGAACCACAGUCUUGCCCAUUCUCCGAGAAAGCACUGAGCCCAAGACCCAGAAUGCUCCGGAGUAAGAGCUUUGGACCUGUCUCUGGAAGUGGAGAAAGGCUUGGGGCAUGAAAUCCUGGGCAUCCCAGUGUUUCGUUGGUUCGAAUCCUGGGCGCGGACAUGGCACUGCUCAUCAGACCACGCUGAGGCAGCGUCCCACAUGCCACAA
rnacentral:lncRNA from 1 species